rnacentral:rRNA from 1 species
GCGCGUAAAUUGCCCGAAUCCUGACACAGGGAGGUAGUGACAAGAAAUAACAAUACAGGGCUACUUCUAGUCUUGUAAUUGGAAUGAGUACGAUUUACAUCUCUUCACGAGGAUCAAUUGGAGGGCAAGUCUGGUGCCAGCAGCCGCGGUAAUUCCAGCUCCAACAGCGUAUAUUAAAGUUGUUGCAGUUAAAACGCUCGUAGUCGGAUUUCGGGGCGGGCCGACCGGUCUGCCGAUGGGUAUGCACUGACCGGCGCGUCCUUCCACCCGGAGACCGCGCCUACUCUUAGCUGAGCGGGCGCGGGAGACGGGUCUUUUACUUUGAAAAAAUCAGAGUGUUUCAAGCAGGCAGUCGCUCUUGCAUGGAUUAGCAUGGGAUAAUGAAAUAGGACUCUGGUGCUAUUUUGUUGGUUUCGAACACCGGAGUAAUGAUUAACAGGGACAGUCAGGGGCACUCGUAUUCC